AAUGACUUCCUUCAGUCUUGCAUUUAUCUCCAGCUGUCACUGUCGCCAGUAAUAUAACCCAGCUAACAGUGAGCAGUACAUCGAGUGUUUGCAGAUUCAGCAAAAACAACACAUAACACAAAUUAAGUCUGUUUAAACGAUUCUACACAAGAUUUGGUCGUGAAAAUUCUGCGUUUAUAAAUCCUAACUGAUAACAGUUUACUGUAAGGACUGUCAGGAUGGGGGGUAGUUGUAUAAACUUGCUGGGCGUGGGUAGAAAUGACGAAGCAGUACUUUUGCACUCCUCCUUACAGUAAUCUUGUGUUAACAACACUUACAUUCGUGUGCAUUAGUGCACUCGGAUCACUCUCUCUUGCACUCUGAACAGCAACUGCACAGGGAUGGAUGUGCGUAACUGUCAGCUGUGGCUUUGCACUUGUCCUUGAAGCUGGAGGCGGUUUCAUUGUAUAAAUACUUGGGCAGACAGUCCGUAGCCAGCAAACGAGGAUUUCACCGAAGCUCCAGUUCGUACUAUCUGUGAUCGUGAGGCAAGCUGCACCCAGACCAUUCCAGAAUGGAUCCCCAGAACUGCUCCUGCUGCACUAAUGAUGGAAACUGCACCUGUGGUAGUAGCUGCAAAUGUGAUGACUGCAAGUGUACAUCCUG